UACGUAGGUGGCAAGCGUUGUCCGGAUUUACUGGGCGUAAAGAGCGCGCAGGCGGUCGUUCAAGUCGCGUGUGAAAGCCCCCGGCUCAACUGGGGAGGGUCACGCGAUACUGAUCGACUCGAAGGCAGGAGAGGGUAGUGGAAUUCCCGGUGUAGUGGUGAAAUGCGUAGAUAAUCGGGAGGAACACCAGUGGCGAAGGCGACUACCUGGCCUG
rnacentral:rRNA from 1 species